UACGUAGGCAGCGAGCGUUGUUCGGAGUUACUGGGCGUAAAGAGUGCGUAGGCGGUUUUCUAAGUUUGGUGUGAAAUCUCCCGGCUCAACUGGGAGGGUGCGCCGAAGACUGGAAGGCUUGAGUAUGGGAGAGGUAAGCGGAAUUCCUGGUGUAGCGGUGAAAUGCGUAGAUAUCAGGAGGAACACAUGCGGUGUAGACGGCUUACUGGACCAUAACUGACGCUGAGGCACGAAAGCGUGGGUAGCAAACAGG
rnacentral:rRNA from 1 species